rnacentral:rRNA from 1 species
GGACUACCCGGGUUUCUAAUCCCGUUUGCUCCCCUAGCUUUCGCGCCUCAGCGUCAGAAGAGGUCCAGUCGAGCGCUUUCGCCACCGGCGUUCCUUCUGAUAUCAACGCAUUUCACCGCUCCACCAGAAGUUCCCUCGACCCCUAUCUCCCUCGAGCCAAUCAGUAUCCGAGGCACUUCUCCAGUUGAGCUGGAGGAUUUCACCCCGGACUUGAUCGGCCGCCUACGCGCCCUUUAAGCCCAGUGAUUCCGAACAACGUUCGCACGGUUCGUCUUACCGCGGCUGCUGGCAC